rnacentral:rRNA from 1 species
UACAGAGGGUGCAAGCGUUAAUCGGAAUUACUGGGCGUAAAGCGCGCGUAGGCGGUUUAAUCAGUCGGAUGUGAAAGCCCCGGGCUCAACCUGGGAACUGCAUUCGAAACUGUUAAGCUAGAGUAUGGUAGAGGGAAGUGGAAUUCCAGGUGUAGCGGUGAAAUGCGUAGAUAUCUGGAGGAACAUCAGUGGCGAAGGCGACUUCCUGGACCAAUACUGACGCUGAGGUGACGAAAGCGUGGGGAGCAAACAGGAUUAGAUACCCGCGUA